AUUUGCUCAGUCUCCUUCCUGAAGCAUGUAUCUUAGAUGGGUAUGCAGUCAGACCUUUUUUUUUUUUUUUGUUAAACGUACAACUUUUAAGAUACAGUCAGCUCUGCUAUGAUAACUCAGAUUUGUUGCAAAGUGAUAGUGUAGCUCUCUGUAUCCGACAAAAUGGCGCAUAAUCAUCUGUGAAAAUUGGAGCACUCUCUUUAGGUCUGCAUGCUUCUCAAAUUGAGCUGUAACACUCACUGCUGCGGUCCAAGCCUUCAUUCUUUGAAGCCCGUGGAACCACAAACUCUUCAAUUGAUAAAAACCUUCGAUCGGAAGAGACUUCUCAUCUCAUUUCUGGGGGCCUGUCCGGGAUUUCUCUGAAGUGAAUAGAAUCCAUGAAACUGCAAGUGGUUCUACAAAUGGAGCCCCAAAUGACCACCACUAGCACCUACUAUCGAGGACCCCUAGACUGACCUACCAACCUGUUCUAACACCACGACACUGAAGAAGACUCCCCUCCUGAGGAACCCUCAACUGCAGAUCCCCUUCUGUGCCCCAGUUCAGCAGGAAGUAGCUAGAAUGAUCAUUGCCCAACUUCUCAACAGCACUUGGGCUUUCCUGUUGAGAGGGGGUACUGAGGCACUAAGUGGCUAAGUUAGCUAGACUUCCUGGGUCAACAGGGACUUCCCUAAGGGGACAUUCCUCUAAGCCAAAAUGAGUCAUAGCUGCAAGCUAAGGGAUUGAAACUUCAACCAAUCAAAGGGGACUUUCUCCUAAGCAAAAAUGAGUCACUGCUGCAAACUAAGUGAUUGAAACUUCACCCAAUCAUAUAGGGAGUUUAAGCUUUAGCUGCAGCCUGAUGUUUUUAACCAAUCAGGCCUGCCAACCCACAAGCAGAUAGAAAAUAAGCUAAUCCUAUGGGACAGAAAAAGGAAAAGGGGAGGAGUCAUAAGAGGAUAUAAGCAUAAGACACCCAAGCCAGAAACGGAAACCCUUCCGGGUCUCCUUCCACCACGUGGAAGCUUUACUUUUGCUUUUACUUUACUUUCACUUUAAUAAACCUUGGCGCUGCACACUCUUUGGGUCUGUACGUUUCUCUAAUUGAGCUGUAACACUCGCCGCUGUG
rnacentral:lncRNA from 1 species